CGCAGGGUAGUGUAAAUGGCAACACGUUGGCCCCAUAAGCCGAAUAUUCUGGGUUCGAGUCCCAGUCCCGCCA
rnacentral:tRNA from 1 species